UACAGAGGUCUCAACCGUUGUUCGGAUUCAUUGGGCGUAAAGGGUGCGUAGGCGGCGGGGUAAGUCAGGUGUGAAAUCUCGGGGCUCAACCCCGAAACUGCACUUGAUACUGCCUCGCUUGAGUACUGGAGAGGAGACUGGAAUUUACGGUGUAGCAGUGAAAUGCGUAGAUAUCGUAAGGAAGACCAGCGGCGAAGACGAGUUCCUGGACAGUUACUGACGCUGAGGCACGAAGGCCAGGGGAGCAAACGGG
rnacentral:rRNA from 1 species